GACGAACGCUGGCGGCGUGCCUAAUACAUGCAAGUAGAACGCUGAAGGAGGAGCUUGCUCUUCUGGAUGAGUUGCGAACGGGUGAGUAACGCGUAGGUAACCUGCCUGGUAGCGGGGGAUAACUAUUGGAAACGAUAGCUAAUACCGCAUAACAGUAGAUGUUGCAUGACAUUUGCUUAAAAGGUGCAAUUGCACCACUACCAGAUGGACCUGCGUUGUAUUAGCUAGUUGGUGGGGUAACGGCUCACCAAGGCGACGAUACAUAGCCGACCUGAGAGGGUGAUCGGCCACACUGGGACUGAGACACGGCCCAGACUCCUACGGGAGGCAGCAGUAGGGAAUCUUCGGCAAUGGACGGAAGUCUGACCGAGCAACGCCGCGGGAGUGAAGAAGGUUUUCGGAUCGUAAAGCUCUGUUGUAAGAGAAGAACGAGUGUGAGAGUGGAAAGUUCACACUGUGACGGUAUCUUACCAGAAAGAGAUGGCUAACUACGUG
rnacentral:rRNA from 1 species